CAAAGCACAGAGAGAAAGAGAGAGAGAUUCCAACAGAAGAGAGAGAGAGAGAGCGAGAGAGGGGGAGAGGGAGAGAGUAAGAGACGUACGGCAAAGGGGACUCUUCAGAUUCCUGGUUUCAAUCUGUUUCUCUCUCUUUGAACUCACUUUUCUCUCCCUAUAAAUGUAUGCGAUUUAUGACUGGCGCUAAACGACAACUCAGCUCCAGCUGUGUUUUCUUUUCUAUUUCUUUUCAUGUUCAGAUCUGUGUUCGUUGACACCAAAAAUUUUUGUUCUGGUUUUCAGAUGAAUGAAUUGUGGCUAGGAAGUGGCCUUUCCAGAUGAGUGGUUUUUGAAUGUGCUAAUUUUAUAUAAUAUGUUUGUCAUGAUAAUGCUUACUUUUAUGAUGAUAACGACUAUGUUAAUCAUAUGAAGAAGAAAAAAAAAACAUGUUUUUACAUGAUGAUGAUGACAGCAGCGGUGAUUGUUUGACUUUUAUCUUGUAUUCAUUUUUCUCAUUUGGUAAAAGUAACGAAUUUCUGGGAAUUUCUUAUUGUUUGUUCUUUAGCAAGUUGAACUUAUUACUGUGCAUGAUUCUUGUUAAAUGCAUACUGGUUCAGAAACUUCUUUUUUUAAAUGAGGGUCUGUCUGUCUUCUCUGUUCUUAAUAUAAUUUCUAUAGAUUUUUACCCUGAAUCAGUUGUUCAUAAACUUCUUAUGAUGGAAAACUACAGCUAUGGAAAAUUAUGUGAAAACAUAAUUAUUGUUUUACAUUUGUUGUGCUUCAAAAUGUAUAAUAUAAUACAUCCAUUUUCUCAAAGUUUUCCAUGAUUCUCCCAAGACCAAUCAUUCCCAUGUGUUUUGGUCCUAGUAAAUCAUUGAAGGAGAUGAAUGGAAGGUGGGAAGUGGGUACUCAUUAUUAUGCUUACCCAAAUUUAUUGUCUAGUUUUAGCUUCAUUUCAUGGUGCCACUUUCUUGAGGUUCUAACUAUGAACUUACAAAGGAGAAAAAAAAAAAACAUAUGAGAAUUAUUGGAAUUAAUUCAAUGCCAAUUAUGUGUCAUUUUCUUGAGCAGGUGGGUGUAAAGUUAUUACUUGUUUUCUUUCUCUCAUAAGGGGAACAGUAUCUUUGAAAGGAGGAUUUGAAGUGGCUAUAUGGAAUUGAGGGAAUCAUAGUUGAGUACAAGUUGGCAGAGUAUCUUCAAUCUUAGAAUGGAAAUUAGUUAAAGUUGAAAUAAAUUCUACUACCCAGAAUGUUGUCUUGGAACACAAGUAUCUGCUAGAAUAGUAGAGGGGAAAAGAAUCUAUGAAAACUACAGCAUGCUGUGGACAAUCCAUUGUUUGGUUCUUUAUGCUGAUCCAUUACUUGAAAUUAUCCAGCAUGCCAACCUCAUUAUUCUCUUGUCAUUCUAGUGGAAUAAUCAUCAUUUUGAUUCCUUUCUUUUUUUUUUUUUUUUUUUGUUCUUCUGUUGUUACCAUUGUAAUUUGACUAUAUGGGCAUCACCUUUUUUGUGCCAAGAAAAAGAUCAGUCAACAAAACAAAUGAAGCCCCAACUAAACUUUACCUUAAGAGUCCUCCAAGAAGACAUCUCAAUGGUAAAUUUUCAACCCAUCUAAGCCUAUAAUGAGGGGGUGAGCUUUGAUUGUAUGGAGUGGUACAAUAUCUGACCUCAGUAGAUUCCCCAUUUGAAAGCUUUGCGGCCAAAAAAGUUUAGCAUAUAAUUUGUGUUUCUUUCUAGUUUUGACUAAUGAGCCAAGAAAAAAAAAGAAAAAAAGAAAAAGGAUAUUCAUGGUUUUAAACUUUUUUUCCUGAAUAGUUGUAGAAAAGUUAGGCUGAGAUGGUGAUCAUGAACUACCUUUGUCCCCAUUCAAAUGUUGUAAUGGACCAAAAUAUCUGCAGAUAAUGAAGAUGACAUGAUAGGGUUGGCGGUGACAACGUGGGAUAAUGUGUGCCUAAGAAAAUGACCACUAUGGCAUGUUAAACAUGACGGGAAUGGCAUCUUGUCAUGUAUAUGAUGGGCAUGAUGGGCACUUACAACAUGUACAAUUUGAUUGUGUGCAUAGUGUCGGGUUGUUUGCUCUCUUGGCCCCUAAAUCUAUUAUUAGGUGGCACCUUUUAUAUACAAUUCCUUUGCUCU